GACGAACGCUGGCGGCGUGCUUAACACAUGCAAGUCGAACGAUGAAGCCGGAGCUUGCUCUGGUGAAUUAGUGGCGAACGGGUGAGUAACACGUGAGUAACCUGCCCUUGACUCUGGGAUAACUGCUAGAAAUGGUAGCUAAUACCGGAUACGACCCUCGGAGGCAUCUUCAGGGGGUGGAAAGAAUUUCGGUCAAGGAUGGACUCGCGGCCUAUCAGCUAGUUGGUGAGGUAAUGGCGUACCAAGGCGACGACGGGUAGCCGGCCUGAGAGGGUGACCGGCCACACUGGGACUGAGACACGGCCCAGACUCCUACGGGAGGCAGCAGUGGGGAAUAUUGCACAAUGGGCGCAAGCCUGAUGCAGCAACGCCGCGUGAGGGAUGACGGCCUUCGGGUUGUAAACCUCUUUUAGUAGGGAAGAAGCGAAAGUGACGGUACCUGCAGAAAAAGCACCGGCUAACUACGUGCCAGCAGCCGCGGUAA
rnacentral:rRNA from 1 species